AGCGAACGCUGGCGGCAGGCUUAACACAUGCCAGUCGAACGGGCAUCUUCGGAUGUCAGUGGCAGACGGGUGAGUAACACGUGGGAACGUACCCUUCGGUUCGGAAUAACUCAGGGAAACUUGAGCUAAUACCGGAUACGCCCUUUUGGGGAAAGGUUUACUGCCGAAGGAUUGGCCCGCGUCUGAUUAGCUUGUUGGUGGGGUAACGGCCUACCAAGGCGACGAUCAGUAGCUGGUCUGAGAGGAUGAUCAGCCACACUGGGACUGAGACACGGCCCAGACUCCUACGGGAGGCAGCAGUGGGGAAUAUUGGACAAUGGGCGCAAGCCUGAUCCAGCCAUGCCGCGUGAGUGAUGAAGGCCUUAGGGUUGUAAAGCUCUUUUGUCCGGGACGAUAAUGACGGUACCGGAAGAAUAAGCCCCGGCUAACUUCGUG
rnacentral:rRNA from 1 species